GAUGAACGCUGGCGGCGUGCCUAAUACAUGCAAGUCGAGCGAAUGGAUUAAGAGCUUGCUCUUAUGAAGUUAGCGGCGGACGGGUGAGUAACACGUGGGUAACCUGCCCAUAAGACUGGGAUAACUCCGGGAAACCGGGGCUAAUACCGGAUAACAUUUUGAACCGCAUGGUUCGAAAUUGAAAGGCGGCUUCGGCUGUCACUUAUGGAUGGACCCGCGUCGCAUUAGCUAGUUGGUGAGGUAACGGCUCACCAAGGCAACGAUGCGUUGCCGACCUGGGAGGGUGAUCGGCCACACUGGGACUGGGACACGGCCCAGACUCCUACGCGAGGCAGCAGUAGGGAAUCUUCCGCAAUGGACGAAAGUCUGACGGAGCAACGCCGCGUGAGUGAUGAAGGCUUUCGGGUCGUAAAACUCUGUUGUUAGGGAAGAACAAGUGCUAGUUGAAUAAGCUGGCACCUUGACGGUACCUAACCAGAAAGCCACGGCUAACUACGUGCCAGCAGCCGCAGUAA
rnacentral:rRNA from 1 species